rnacentral:rRNA from 1 species
AUUGAACGCUAACGGCAUGCUUAACACAUGCAAGUCGAACGGCAGCACAGUUGUAGCAAUACAAUGGGUGGCGAGUGGCGGACGGGUGAGUAAUACAUAGGAAUCUGCCUUGUAGUGGGGGAUAACCCGGGGAAACUCGGGCUAAUACCGCAUAAUCUUUACGAAGCAAAGUGGGGGACCGUAAGGCCUUACGCUAUAAGAUGAGCCUAUGUCGGAUUAGCUAGUUGGUGGGGUAAAGGCCUACCAAGGCAACGAUCCGUAGCUGGUCUGAGAGGAUGAUCAGCCACACUGGAACUGAGACACGGUCCAGACUCCUACGGGAGGCAGCAGUGGGGAAUAUUGGACAAUGGGCGAAAGCCUGAUCCAGCAAUGCCGUGUGUGUGAAGAAGGCCUUCGGGUUGUAAAGCACUUUUAGUGGAGAAGAAAAGUUCAAGACUAAUAACCUUGAAUGCUGACGUUAUCCACAGAAAAAGCACUGGCUAACUCUGUGCCAGCCGCCGCAGUAACAC